GAUGAACGCUGGCGGCGUGCCUAAUACAUGCAAGUCGAGCGAACAGACGAGGAGCUUGCUCCUCUGACGUUAGCGGCGGACGGGUGAGUAACACGUGGAUAACCUACCUAUAAGACUGGGAUAACUUCGGGAAACCGGAGCUAAUACCGGAUAAUAUAUUGAACCGCAUGGUUCAAUAGUGAAAGACGGUUUUGCUGUCACUUAUAGAUGGAUACGCGCCGCAUUAGCUAGUUGGUAAGGUAGCGGCUUACCAAGGCAAAGAUUCGUAGCCGCGCUGGACGGGGGAUCGGCCACACUGGAACUGAGACACGGUCCAGACGCCUACGGGAGGAAGCAGUAGAGAAUCUUCCGCAAUGGUCGAAAGCCUGACUGAGCAACGCCGCGUGAGUGAUGAAGGUCUUCGGAUCGUAAAACUCUGUUAUUAGGGAAGAACAAAUGUGUAAGUAACUAUGCACGUCUUGACGGUACCUAAUCAGAAAGCCACGGCUAACUACGUGCCAGCCGCCGCGGUAA
rnacentral:rRNA from 1 species